UACGUAGGUGACAAGCGUUGUCCGGAUUUACUGGGCGUAAAGAGCGCGCAGGCGGUCGAUCAAGUCGAGUGUGAAAGCCCCCGGCUCAACUGGGGAGGGUCAUUCGAUACUGAUCGACUCGAAGGCAGGAGAGGGUAGUGGAAUUCCCGGUGUAGUGGUGAAAUGCGUAGAGAUCGGGAGGAACACCAGUGGCGAAGGCGGCUCGCUGGGCCGGACCUGACGCUGAGACGCGAAGGCGUGGGGAGCGAACGGG
rnacentral:rRNA from 1 species